GUGCGUCGAACGAAAGCCAUCUGCUUACGGAUUGUCGUAACAGCGCAUGCGUAGUAUACGAAAGUAAACAUCCAAGAUGGCGGCGCAAAAUGAAUUGCUGGCUGAGGCAAUUUUAGAAGACAAACUUGUCGUGAUAAUGCUGUUCCAACAACUUGUCUACAAGCUUGCUACAAGCCUGUUGAGAACAUAUCUUGUAGACCAGUUGCUGGAACAGCAUUGUCACAACUUGUUAACAAGUUUGCUACAAGGCCGUUGAGAACAUAUCUUGUUGACAAGUUGUUGGAACAGCAUUAUCACGACAAGUUUGUCUUCUAAAAUUGCCUCAGCCAGCAAUUCAUUGUGCGCCGCCAUCUUGGAUGUUUACUUUCGUACACUACCCAUGCUCUGUUACGACAAUCCAUAAGCAGAUAGCUUUCGAUCGCCGCACAUGGAAAGAUUUUGGCACGCGAGGCAGAAAUUAUCAAACAUGUUAGAUAUUUGCCGUAAGUGGCACGAAUGACAAAAGUCGUUCGUAAAUCGCCCGCACACGAGAGCUAUCUCCUUACGCCAACAGUAUGACAUUUGGCUCAGCACAUAGCUGCAGUGUGCGCCGGCCAGGAGAAAGCUCUCGUGUGCGGUGCACUUUUGUAAGUUUUUCGUCACUCGUGACGCGUGGGACAAAUAUCCAACGUGUUGAAUAUUUUUUGUCACGAAUGAACAUUUCCUCCGCGUGCGCGCUCGAAAAGCAACCUUUCAUUGUAAAAUGUAGAUCGAAUAGGCAUGCGUAAUAAAACAUAAGACAAAAGGAAAAUAAUUAAUGAGGAAUGUGAUACAUGAGUAGCGACAUAUGAAUAUUCCUCAUAAUUAUUUCCUUCUGUCUUAUAUUUUAUUACGCAUGCCUGUUCGAUCUACAAUGAAAAGUGAUAGCUUUUCGAGCGCGCACACGUGGAGGAAAUGUUAAUUCGUGACAAAAAAUAUUCAACACGUUGGAUAUUUGUCUUACACGUCACGAGUGACGAAAAACGGACAAAAGUGCACCGCACACGAGAGCUUUCUCCUUACGCCAACAGUCACGAAUGACAUUUUGCUAAGCACAUAGCUCUAGUGUGCGCCGGGCUUUAUGGGCUAGAGCAACUGUCCGAUGAAAUGAUGCCCACCGUUGAAAUCCAUAUAUUGUGGGACGGUGCGGCUGGUUGUUUUCAGAUUGCCCGAAUAUUUAUAUAUUUGCAGCAUUGUAUACAUGGAAUAUUCAGUUUGCGGCUGCCUCCGAUGUAUGUCAUUGUAAUUAUUCCCCACUGCUUCGUGUUUUGUAUGUUUCUCUAAUUUCAUUUUUAUUGGCUAGAGCAACUUGACUGUUUUCAGAUGCCCACGUUGAGAUUACAACAUUGGGUUUUUUCUACACAGAACUUUUUCGUCAAUUUGUGGCAUUUAUAUACAGCCAAUUCAAAAAAGGUUGUCCUUUGCAAACCUUGCAUGAACUUUAAUUUUAAAUCUUAAACCUUAAACUCUAAUCGCGCAAAGCUUAAUUGGAACACAAGUUUCAAGCUUAGUAUAGUUGAAUAUUGCAGCUAUUUGUGAAUGAAUUGUACUCGCAAGGAGAUAUUUACCAUGUCUCUAAGAAAUGGGCCCCAUAUAUGAUUUCUAAACUGAUUAAAUGAUGCUCCCAUUAUGCUUUGCACGCUUAGAGUAUAAGGUUUAAGGUUUAGAGUUUAAGGUUUGCAAAGGACAAGCUUUUUUGAAUUAACUGUAUACAAUUGUUUUAACUUUGUACUGUUUUGUGUUUAUAAAUUUGAACAUUUACGGUUCAGAUGUGUAGUGGUGCGUAUAUAUAUAUUCUGCCCUUGUUCUUGUGUUAGGAAAAAUGCAUGUCUAAGUGGGAUAUAUAGUAAUGACGUCUAACUAAUAUACUAAAUAUAUUCUAUAGCACAAAUAUAUACCUAGUACUUAGAUAUUACAGGAUAGAAGCGUUUUAUCGUUAUCAGAUGCCCACAGUUGAAAUCAAUAUAUUGUUGGACGGUGCGGCUUAUUGCUUUCAGAUUGCCCGAAUAUUUAUAUAUUUGCAGCAUUGUAUGCAGUAAUAUUCAAUUUGCGUAAUAUUAUAUAUUCAUAUACAUUGUAUGCAGUAAUAUUCAAUUUGCGGCUAACUCCGAUGUAUGCCAUUGUGAUUAUACCGCGCUGCCUCGUGUUUUGUAUGUCACUUUAUUAUUGUACAGUAUGUUUUUGCUAGGUUCAUGUAUG
rnacentral:lncRNA from 1 species